CCCUUUGCCGGCGACCGGCGCACGGGUGAGUAACACGUAUGCAACCUGCCCUCUUCAGGGGGACAACCUUCCGAAAGGGAGGCUAAUCCCGCGUAUAUCGGUUUCGGGCAUCCGAGAUCGAGGAAAGAUUCAUCGGAAGAGGAUGGGCAUGCGGCGCAUUAGCUAGACGGCGGGGUAACGGCCCACCGUGGCGACGAUGCGUAGGGGUUCUGAGAGGAAGGUCCCCCACACUGGUACUGAGACACGGACCAGACUCCUACGGGAGGCAGCAG
rnacentral:rRNA from 1 species